GCGGGCAUCGUAUAAUGGCUAUUACCUCAGCCUUCAAGCUGAUGAUGCGGGUUCGAUUCCCGCUGCCCGCU
rnacentral:tRNA from 1 species